rnacentral:rRNA from 1 species
CCUGAGACCGGCGCACGGGUGCGUAACGCGUAUGCAAUCUACCUCUAUCUGGGGGAUAGCCCGAAGAAAUUCGGAUUAACACCGCAUAAAAUCACAGUACGGCAUCGUACAAUGAUCAAAUAUUUAUAGGAUAGGGAUGAGCAUGCGUGUCAUUAGUUAGUUGGCGGGGUAACGGCCCACCAAGACCACGAUGACUAGGGGAUCUGAGAGGAUGACCCCCCACACUGGUACUGAGACACGGACCAGACUCC